GAGUUUGAUCCUGGCUCAGGAUGAACGCUGGCGGCGUGCUUAACACAUGCAAGUCGAGCGAUGAAGUUUCCUUCGGGAAACGGAUUAGCGGCGGACGGCUGAGUAACACGUGGGUAACCUGCCUCAUAGAGUGGAAUAGCCUUCCGAAAGGAAGAUUAAUACCGCAUAACGUUGAAAGAUGGCAUCAUCAUUUAACCAAAGGAGCAAUCCGCUAUGAGAUGGACCCGCGGCGCAUUAGCUAGUUGGUGGGGUAACGGCCUACCAAGGCGACGAUGCGUAGCCGACCUGAGAGGGUGAUCGGCCACAUUGGGAUUGAGACACGGCCCAGACUCCUACGGGAGGCAGCAGUGGGGAAUAUUGCACAAUGGGGGAAACCCUGAUGCAGCAACGCCGCGUGAGUGAUGAAGGUUUUCGGAUCGUAAAGCUCUGUCUUUGGGGAAGAUAAUGACGGUACCCAAGGAGGAAGCCACGGCUAACUACGUGCCAGCAGCCGCGGUAAUACGUAGGUGGCAAGCGUUAUCCGGAUUUACUGGGCGUAAAGGGAGCGUAGGCGGAUGAUUAAGUGGGAUGUGAAAUACCCGGGCUCAACUUGGGUGCUGCAUUCCAAACUGGUUAUCUAGAGUGCAGGAGAGGAGAGUGGAAUUCCUAGUGUAGCGGUGAAAUGCGUAGA
rnacentral:rRNA from 1 species